UAAUACGGGAGGUGCAAGCGUUGUUCGGAUUUACUAGGCGUAAAGAGUAUGUAGGUUGUUAUUUAAGUCAAAUGUGAAAUCUUUGGGCUCAACUCAAAAACUGCAUUUGAAACUGGAUGACUUGAGUGUAGAAGAGGAGAGUAGAAUUCCUGGUGGAGCGGUGAAAUGUGUAGAUAUCAGGAAGAAUAUCAGUGGCGAAGGCGACUCUCUGGUCUAUCACUGACACUGAGAUACGAAGGCGUGGGGAGCAAACAGGAUUAGAUACCCUGGUAGUCCACGCAGUAAACGAUGUGCAUUAGGUGUAGGAGGUAUCCAAUCCUUCUGUAUCGGAGCUAACGUAUUAAAUGCACCGCCUGGGGAGUACGGUCGCAAGGCUG
rnacentral:rRNA from 1 species